GUGAAGUGGUCGUUCAAAGG
rnacentral:misc_RNA from 1 species